rnacentral:rRNA from 1 species
AGAGUUUGAUCCUGGCUCAGAUUGAACGCUGGCGGCAUGCCUUACACAUGCAAGUCGAACGGUAACGCGGGGCAACCUGGCGACGAGUGGCGAACGGGUGAGUAACGCAUCGGAACGUGCCCAGUAGUGGGGGAUAGCCCGGCGAAAGCCGGAUUAAUACCGCAUACGACCUACGGGUGAAAGCGGGGGACCGUAAGGCCUCGCGCUAUUGGAGCGGCCGAUGUCAGAUUAGGUAGUUGGUGGGGUAAAAGCCUACCAAGCCGACGAUCUGUAGCUGGUCUGAGAGGACGACCAGCCACACUGGGACUGAGACACGGCCCAGACUCCUACGGGAGGCAGCAGUGGGGAAUUUUGGACAAUGGGCGCAAGCCUGAUCCAGCCAUGCCGCGUGCGGGAUGAAGGCCUUCGGGUUGUAAACCGCUUUUGUCAGGGAAGAAACGCUCCGGGCCAAUACCCUGGGGUAAUGACGGUACCUGAAGAAUAAGCACCGGCUAACUACGUGCCAGCAGCCGCGGUAAUACGUAGGGUGCAAGCGUUAAUCGGAAUUAC